AAGGAUCAUUACGAAAUUCGGCGCGCUUCGGCGCUGCCUUAUUCACCCACCCUUUGUCUUCCGUAGGUGAACCUGCGGAAGGAUCAUUACGAAAUUCGGCGCGCUUCGGCGCUGCCUUAUUCACCCACCCUUUGUCUACGUGUACCUCUAUAGCUUCCUCGGCGGGCUCGCCCGCCGCCAGGAACCCACGAAACCCCUUGCAUUAUACACGAAAACUUCUGAUAACAAACCUAAAUUAUUACAACUUUCAACAAUGGAUCUCUUGGUUCUGGCAUCGAUGAAGAACGCAGCGAAAUGCGAUAAGUAGUGUGAAUUGCAGAAUUCAGUGAAUCAUCGAAUCUUUGAACGCACAUUGCGGCCAUAGGUAUUCCUUUGGCCAUGCCUGUUCGAGCGUCAUUUACACCCUCAAGCCUAGCUUGGUGUUGGGCGUCUGUCCCGCCGAUUUCGCGCGCGGACUCGCCUCAAAGUCAUUGGCGGCGGUCGUGCCGGCUCCUCGCGCAGCACAUUUGCGCUUCUCGGAGGCCCGGCGGAUCCGCGCUCCAGCAAAGACCUUUCAUGACUUGACCUCGGAUCAGGUAGGGAUACCCGCUGAACUUAAGCAUAUCAAUAAGCGGAGGA
rnacentral:rRNA from 1 species